GAUCAGAGGGUAUCAACAUGUAGAAGGCUUUAAUCUUGCAAAACCUUUUCUCUUGUUGCAACGUGCAAUUCCUUACUACUUGAAUUAUGGAAAGAACUAAACAUAAAAAUAGAUUCAUUGUCCAAAGAGAUGCCUUGUCAUGUGGCUGGAGAUCUUGAGAUGUAAGGUAUGAAAAUGUCAACAACAUUUUGGUUUGUUUCAGAUUUUUAAUAGUAAGCCACCUGGGAAAAUCAACCAACACAUCACCAAGAAGAGUUCUCUCAUAGAAAAUGCCAGAGGGUAA